AUGUUGGUCCGACCAGGAGGCGUUGCCAUUAUAGGGUGUCCGACCAACGUCCUCGUGUUCGUGCAUCUUCAGGAAGAAACGACCCGGGGGGGGCUAGAUCGCAAGGGCAGAGUUGCAGUCCUCCAGGGCCGCGGGAAGAAGAAGAUGGGACUCAUAUACAAGCCUCCCUCUCGUGGUGAACACUCUUCCCUGGAAUUGAUGGAAGAUCUGCCUUGCAGCCUUAGAGGAUCCAUGCAUCGUGUGAUGUGUGGCCUACAGGCUACCAAUGCAACUGAUGUAGUCCUGCACAACACAAAUAAUUUAGUGGUGCUUGGAUCUAGGAGUGAACUGGGUCAGGGUUCUGUACUAUAG
rnacentral:rRNA from 1 species